rnacentral:rRNA from 1 species
UACGUAGGGUGCAAGCGUUGUCCGGAAUUAUUGGGCGUAAAGAGCUCGUAGGCGGUCUGUCGCGUCGGCUGUGAAAUCCCGAGGCUCAACCUCGGGUCUGCAGUCGAUACGGGCAAACUAGAGUAUUGCAGGGGAGACUGGAAUUCCUGGUGUAGCGGUGAAAUGCGCAGAUAUCAGGAGGAACACCGGUGGCGAAGGCGGGUCUCUGGGCAAUAACUGACGCUGAGGAGCGAAAGCGUGGGGGAGCGAACAGG